GGGCUGUAGCUACAUUAAAUACGGAUGAGAAGUUAACUGGCCGGUUGUUUGAGAUUCAUAAUGGAUCUCUAUAGACAUAUCUGCUUACCGAACUUCUUACAACU